GGUAGCAGGAAGUGCUUGCACUUUGCUGACGAGUGGCGGACGGGUGAGUAAUACUUAGGAACAUGCCUUUGUGUGGGGGAUAACCAUUGGAAACGAUGGCUAAUACCGCAUAAUGUCUUUGGACCAAAGAGGGCUUUCGGGCUCUCGCGCAAAGAGUGGCCUAAGUGAGAUUAGCUUGUUGGUGAGGUAAAGGCUCACCAAGGCGACGAUCUCUAGCUGUUCUGAGAGGAAGAUCAGCCACACUGGGACUGAGACACGGCCCAGACUCCUACGGGAGGCAGCAGUGGGGAAUAUUGCACAAUGGGGGAAACCCUGAUGCAGCCAUGCCGCGUGUGUGAAGAAGGCCUUCGGGUUGUAAAGCACUUUCAGUUGUGAGGAAAGGUUAGUGGUUAAUACCCAUUAGCUGUGACGUUAGCAACAGAAGAAGGACCGGCUAACUCCGUGCCAGCAGCCGCGGUAAUACGGAGGGUCCGAGCGUUAAUCGGAAUUACUGGGCGUAAAGCGCACGCAGGCGGUUUGUUAAGCUAGAUGUGAAAGCCCUGGGCUCAACCUGGGAAUUGCAUUUAGAACUGGCAGGCUAGAGUUUUGGAGAGGGGAGUGGAAUUCCAGGUGUAGCGGUG
rnacentral:rRNA from 1 species